rnacentral:rRNA from 1 species
GACGAACGCUGGCGGCGUGCUUAACACAUGCAAGUCGAACGGAAAGGCCCUGCUUUUGUGGGGUGCUCGAGUGGCGAACGGGUGAGUAACACGUGAGUAACCUGCCCUUGACUUUGGGAUAACUUCAGGAAACUGGGGCUAAUACCGGAUAGGAGCUCCUGCUGCAUGGUGGGGGUUGGAAAGUUUCGGCGGUUGGGGAUGGACUCGCGGCUUAUCAGCUUGUUGGUGGGGUAGUGGCUUACCAAGGCUUUGACGGGUAGCCGGCCUGAGAGGGUGACCGGCCACAUUGGGACUGAGAUACGGCCCAGACUCCUACGGGAGGCAGCAGUGGGGAAUAUUGCACAAUGGGCGGAAGCCUGAUGCAGCAACGCCGCGUGCGGGAUGACGGCCUUUGGGUUGUAAACCGCUUUCGCCUGUGACGAAGCGUGAGUGACGGUAAUGGGUAAAGAAGCACUGGCUAACUACGUG